rnacentral:rRNA from 1 species
CCUACGGGGGGCUGCAGUGGGGAAUAUUGGACAAUGGGGGCAACCCUGAUCCAGCCAUGCCGCGUGUGUGAAGAAGGCCCUCGGGUUGUAAAGCACUUUCAGUGAGGAAGAACGCCUGGUGGUUAAUACCCAUCAGGAAGGACAUCACUCACAGAAGAAGCACCGGCUAACUCCGUGCCAGCAGCCGCGGUAAUACGGAGGGUGCGAGCGUUAAUCGGAAUUACUGGGCGUAAAGCGCGCGUAGGUGGCUUGAUAAGCCGGUUGUGAAAGCCCCGGGCUCAACCUGGGAACGGCAUCCGGAACUGUCAAGCUAGAGUGCAGGAGAGGAAGGUAGAAUUCCCGGUGUAGCGGUGAAAUGCGUAGAGAUCGGGAGGAAUACCAGUGGCGAAGGCGGCCUUCUGGACUGACACUGACACUGAGGUGCGAAAGCGUGGGUAGCAAACAGGAUUAGAUACCCUGGUAGUC